rnacentral:rRNA from 1 species
AUUGAACGCUGGCGGCAUGCUUUACACAUGCAAGUCGAACGGCAGCACGGGUGCUUGCACCUGGUGGCGAGUGGCGAACGGGUGAGUAAUGCAUCGGAACGUAUCCAAUAAUGGGGGAUAACGCAUCGAAAGGUGUGCUAAUACCGCAUACGCCCUGAGGGGGAAAGUGGGGGAUCUUCGGACCUCACGUUAAUGGAGCGGCCGAUGCCUGAUUAGCUAGUUGGUGAGGUAAAGGCUCACCAAGGCGACGAUCAGUAGCUGGUCUGAGAGGACGACCAGCCACACUGGGACUGAGACACGGCCCAGACUCCUACGGGAGGCAGCAGUGGGGAAUUUUGGACAAUGGGGGCAACCCUGAUCCAGCCAUGCCGCGUGAGUGAAGAAGGCCUUCGGGUUGUAAAGCUCUUUCGCAAGGGAAGAAAAAGCAGGCUCUAACAUAGCCUGUUCAUGACGGUACCUUGAUAAGAAGCACCGGCUAACUACGUGCCAGCAGCCGCUGUAA